rnacentral:rRNA from 1 species
UACGAAGGGGGCUAGCGUUGCUCGGAAUCACUGGGCGUAAAGGGUGCGUAGGCGGGUCUUUUAAGUCAGGGGUGAAAUCCUGGAGCUCAACUCCAGAACUGCCUUUGAUACUGAGGAUCUUGAGUAUGGGAGAGGUGAGUGGAACUGCGAGUGUAGAGGUGAAAUUCGUAGAUAUUCGCAAGAACACCAGUGGCGAAGGCGGCUCACUGGCCCAUUACUGAACGCUGAGGCACGAAAGCGUGGG